rnacentral:ncRNA from 1 species
UCCCCCCCCCCGCCGAGGUCACGUGACCCCCUCCCCCCCGAGGUCAGGUGACCCCCCCGGAGCAUAUUAAAAAAUGAGGGGAGGAGGAGGGGUCUACCCUCCCCUCAGUACCCUUCCCUCCUCCUCCUCAAGAGCUGCGCUCCAAUUCGGCGUUUUUAUCCCUGUCUGUAAAGACUGGGUAACCCGUGAAACCUCCUUCGUGAUUGAAAUAGGGGCUUGCGAUUGUUCCCCUUGAACGAGGAAUUGGCAGUAAGCGCGAGUCAUAAGCUCGCGUUGAUUACGUCCCCGCCCUCUGUAUACACCGGCCGUCGCUAUUACCGAUUGAAUGAUUCUUAAUAUAUUUAAUAAAAAUAAAAAAUCACGUAUGGCGAUUUCGGAUUAGAA